UAGAGGCAUUUCCCCAGGAACUUCCGAGUACAGAUAUAUGAGGGUCAAAUUCCAGAUAUAUGAGGGUCUUGCUUUUCAAUCUGGCUAUGAGGCUAACCCCACUGGCAAAGUCCCUCAGAAUAGCCAAGCCAGGUGCCAAAUGGCUGUAAUCAGGCAUUUAAGAAACAGAGGCAGGAAGGUCAGGAGUUCAAGGCCAGUCUGGACUACAUGAGACCCUAUCUCAAAACCAACAGAACAAAAACGAAGUCCUUUGUAUCUCCACAUGGAGAGAUUGGAGGCAUGGUGUCUAUGGAAGUCAGCGUACUGGAGGGAUGAUAGAUGGAGACAGUUGAUGAUGUUCCCCUCCCCCACUGAUUUAGAAAAGGAGAAGACCAACUCUGUGGCAAGCUAUUUGAUCACAUUGUGAACCCUUAGAUUGUGAAUUGAAAAAAACUCGUUUCUUGUUGUGCAGCCCUAGCCCACACCCAAGAGCUUUAACCCAAGAGCUUUCUAUAAACAGGAGUUAAGUAAAGUCAACCAUAGGUCAAGAGCAGAGUAAGCAACAGGGACAGGGAGUGAACACAGCAAAACGCAGGAAAGAGAAAGGAGGGGCUCUGAGCUGAAGGGAACUUGAGACAGUGUGGAGAAGAGAGAGCCUUUUCCUUCUGGGAAGUCGGUGGAGUAGAAGGUGAGCUGGGUGCCUUCUCUGCCUCUCUGAGCCAGCAGACGUCCACCACAGCCUCUGGCACCUGUGUCUUCCCUUGACAGCGCUCUGUUUAGUUUUCCCUAAGAGAAGUCAUCUCUGCGCGCAGAAACCCUUACACUUUGGUGGACCAACUUCAGCUCUUACAGAAGGUAAGACAAUCGCCUAAAUGCAUGCAGCAGCCUGAUUCGCAGACACACACUCAUGCAGGCAGGCAGACAAUGCUUUCAAACCGCUCUCGUUUUUUAUCAUGUGCCCCAGUCGGGCCUUGAAUUUGAACUCCUCCAUAGACGUGCCACCAGAUCUGUACCCUGCUGUACACACCCCCUCCUCCCAACAUAGUGUCCUGGAGCUCAGCUUGGCCUCAAACUCACUACCAAUCAGAACCUUGAACUUCCAGAGUUCUACGAUGCCGGGCAGGUGGAACCACACCACUGGAUGCGGUGCUGGGAAUGGAACCGGGGUCUUCGUGUAUGUUAGCUCACACUCUGCAUCCUCGGGCUGCCCAAGCGGUUAAGAAGCCGGAAAGAAAGAGCCGCAUGAAGCUUCGCCCGGCGAACCCCUCCGGACCGCUAAUGAUGGGAUUAUGGAGUCUUAACUGCUGAAUGCUUAUCCCUAAUUCUAAUCAAAGAGCUGGGGGUCAAACACAAGGCCCUGUGCACGUGAGGCAAGCGCUCUGCACCUGAGUGCGACUUGCCUGCUCCGUGUCCCUCUUGUCUGUCUGUGAGCAGCAUGGCUGUGCCAUUUAUCGGCUUCAUGAUUUUUGGGAAAGACGUUUCCUUCUCCUGUUUCUCCGCUCAUGAAAUACCAUAGCACCUUCGUGUGCACAUCACCCGGCAUACAUACCAUAAGUGCCAAAUGAGAUGCAGAUGUCUAGAUCUGGAGAGAUGGCCCAGUGGUUAAGAGCACUGCCUGCCUUUCCAAAGGACCGGGGUUCAGUUCCCAGCCCCUACAAGGUGGUUCAUAAACACCUGUAACUCCGGUUCCAUGAGUUCUGAUGCCUUCUGCUGGCCUC
rnacentral:sRNA from 1 species